GAGGGCGCCGGAGCCGGGCAGGGCGGAGAGAUGCGCCAGCGGACUUCUAUUUGGAACUGAGUCCGACAGCUCAGGACUGGCUGCUCAAACUCCACAAUUUAAUGAAAAAUCUCAGAUGAUGACUCAGAAAACCUCUAAUGAUCUGAGGAAUAUAUUAAGGGAUUCCAGAGUCAAAGGCUGAUCAUGGAGGGCAUUGAUGAGGGAAGACUUCAGGUGGCUGGAGACCAGAAGAAAGGAACACUGGAAGAAUGAAAACGGUUGUGAUGCACUGCAGUGUGAA
ensembl:lncRNA PAQR9-AS1 PAQR9 antisense RNA 1